rnacentral:rRNA from 1 species
CAUGCAUGUCUCAGUACGAACCGCUUUAAGGCGAAACCGCGAAUGGCUCAUUAAAUCAGUUAUGGUUCCUUGGAUCUUACCCACACUUACAUGGAUAACUGUGGUAAUUCUAGAGCUAAUACAUGAACCUAGCACCCCGACCAGUGAUGGAAGGGGUGCUUUUAUUAGAACAAAACCAAUCGGUCGGUCUUCCGUCCGUUGCCUUGGUGACUCUGAAUAACUUUUGGCUGAUCGCACGGUCCCAGCACCGGCGACGCAUCUUUCAAAUGUCUGCCUUAUCAACUUUCGAUGGUAGGUUCUGCGCCUACCAUGGUUGUAACGGGUGACGGGGAAUCAGGGUUCGAUCCCGGAGAGGGAGCCUGAGAAACGGCUACCACAUCCAAGGAAGGCAGCAGGCGCGCAAAUUACCCACUCCCGGAACGGGGAGGUAGUGACGAAAAAUAACGAUACGGGACUCAUCCGAGGCCCCGUAAUCGGAAUGAGAACACUUUAAAUCCUUUAACGAGGAUCUAUUGGAGGGCAAGUCUGGUGCCAGCAGCCGCGGUAAUUCCAGCUCCAAUAGCGUAUAUUAAAGUUGUUGCGGUUAAAAAGCUCGUAGUCGGAGGUGUGUCUCGGACGGUCGGUUCGCCGCUUGCCGGUGCUCAACUGGCCGGUCCGGACGUCCUGCCGGUGGGGCCGCGAGGCCCCGUUAUCCUUCUUUGGUCCUCUUCACCGAGUGCCUUGGUGGGCCGGCACGUUUACUUUGAACAAAUUAGAGUGCUCAAAGCAGGCCGUUGGUCGCCUGAAUACUGUGUGCAUGGAAUAAUGGAAUAGGACCUCGGUUCCAUUUUGUUGGUUUUCAGAACUCGAGGUAAUGAUUAAUAGGGACGGACGGGGGCAUUCGUAUUGCGACGUUAGAGGUGAAAUCUUGAUUUUCACCGUGGUG